AUACCAUCAAAUUCUUGCCUAAAUUUCAUCAGAAUUGAAUCAGCCCUGUUCCUUAACAAAAUCUUCGAAGUUCUUGGGAGGUUCCUGCAGCAAUCUAAUCAUGAUUCCACAAGUCAACUGGAAAGCUUUCUUGAUGUAUCUUGAUGGUUCUGAUUCAUCGAUCGAGUAGGGUUUUGCACACUUGAUCACCCCUUGAAUUGCAUAUAGCACGUGAAGAAUUAGACUGUUUAGGGUUCCAUUGUGUUCUUGUACAUGCACAUAAUUCAUGUAUUAUACGUUGUUAUCGUGUCUUUAAAAUGCUUAGAUGAACUUUUCCUUUGGGACGAAGAUUCGGAUUCAAAUCAAAACCAUAAGAAUGAUAAUAAAUUCGUGGAGGUUGAAAGGGAUAAUUUAUAGGAAAAAUGAUGUCAAAAAAGAAUAAGCCAUAGUGAUAUCGAGUACAAGGUGGACUUAGUAUGGCAACCGCAUAAGGUCAACCCUGGAUCCAUAAACUCUAAAAAAAAUAGAAUUUGGGAGUUUUUCCCUAGUGCAUGAACCCUACUGCAAUCUUUCUGGUACUUGAAGAAACGAGAUCGUCUGGCGGUUCGCGAAUUAUAUCAAAGUUCUUGAACAAAUUGAAACCCGUUUCAAUUUCUUCAGUCUCUACCGAAGAAUUUCCUGUUUCUUAGCUAGAGCCAUGGUGCUGAUGGAAAUUUCUUCAAUCUCUCUGGAAAAUAUUUCUGUUUCUGAUCUAUCAAUUUCGUCUUCAAUAUCUCCGCAAAAUUUUCUUGUUUCUGAACUUUCACUGUCGUCGUCAAUUUGUAAUGAAUUUGUUGUAUCCAUGCAAUUAAAGAUUGCUUCUUCAAUUCCUUGAAUCGAAUAUCUUGUUUCUGGGCUUUUAGGGUUCAUGAUAUCCAUGCUGAUUCAAGUGACCCUAACAACUUUUCCAGAACAUCAACUGCAUGGAAAGUAAAGCACAGGAUAAUAUAGGCCUUGGUAGUGAUUUU
rnacentral:lncRNA from 1 species